AGAGUUUGAUCCUGGCUCAGGAUGAACGCUAGCGGCAGGCUCAACACAUGCAAGUCGAGGGGCAGCGGGGAGGAAGCUUGCUUUCUCCGCCGGCGACCGGCGCACGGGUGAGUAACACGUAUGCAACCUGCCCCUGUCAGGGGGACAACCCGCCGAAAGGCGGGCUAUACCCGCGUACAUGCCACCGGGGCAUCCCGGAGGCAGGAAAGGCUUCGGCCGGGCAGGGAUGGGCAUGCGGCGCAUUAGGCAGUAGGCGGGGUAACGGCCCACCUAACCGACGAUGCGUAGGGGUUCUGAGAGGAAGGUCCCCCACACUGGUACUGAGACACGGACCAGACUCCUACGGGAGGCAGCAGUGAGGAAUAUUGGUCAAUGGUCGGGAGACUGAACCAGCCAAGCCGCGUGAGGGAGGAAGGUACAGAGUAUCGUAAACCUCUUUUGUCAGGGAACAAAGGCGGGGACGUGUCCCCGGAUGAGUGUACCUGAAGAAAAAGCAUCGGCUAACUCCGUGCCAGCAGCCGCGGUAAUACGGAGGAUGCGAGCGUUAUCCGGAUUUAUUGGGUUUAAAGGGUGCGCAGGCGGUCUGUUAAGUCAGCGGUCAAAGCCCGGGGCUCAACCCCGGCCCGCCGUUGAAACUGGCAGUCUCGAGUUGGAGAGAAGUAUGCGGAAUGCGCGGUGUAGCGGUGAAAUGCAUAGAUAUCGCGCAGAACUCCGAUUGCGAAGGCAGCAUGCCGGCUCCACACUGACGCUGAGGCACGAAAGCGUGGGUAUCGAACAGGAUUAGAUACCCUGGUAGUCCACGCAGUAAACGAUGAAUGCUGGCUGUCCGGGGGGACUGACCCCUGGGUGGCGAAGCGAAAGCGAUAAGCAUUCCACCUGGGGAGUACGCCGGCAACGGUGAAACUCAAAGGAAUUGACGGGGGCCCGCACAAGCGGAGGAACAUGUGGUUUAAUUCGAUGAUACGCGAGGAACCUUACCCGGGCUCAAACGGGGAGUGGCGCAGGCAGAGACGCCUGUUUCCCACGGGACACUCCCCGAGGUGCUGCAUGGUUGUCGUCAGCUCGUGCCGUGAGGUGUCGGCUUAAGUGCCAUAGCGAGCGCAACCCCCGCGUGCAGUUGCUAACAGUCAACGCUGAGGACUCUGCACGGACUGCCGGCGCAAGCCGCGAGGAAGGCGGGGAUGACGUCAAAUCAGCACGGCCCUUACGUCCGGGGCGACACACGUGUUACAAUGGGUGGUACAGCGGGAAGCCAGGCGGCGACGCCGAGCGGAACCCGAAAUCCACUCUCAGUUCGGAUCGGAGUCUGCAACCCGACUCCGUGAAGCUGGAUUCGCUAGUAAUCGCGCAUCAGCCAUGGCGCGGUGAAUACGAUCCCGGGCCUUGUACACACCGCCCGUCAAG
rnacentral:rRNA from 1 species